rnacentral:rRNA from 1 species
UACAGAGGUCUCAAGCGUUGUUCGGAUUCAUUGGGCGUAAAGGGUGCGUAGGCGGCGCGGUAAGUCGGGUGUGAAAUCUCGGAGCUUAACUCCGAAACUGCAUUCGAUACUGCCGUGCUUGAGGACUGGAGAGGAGACUGGAAUUUACGGUGUAGCGGUGAAAUGCGUAGAUAUCGUAAGGAAGACCAGUGGCGAAGGCGGGUCUCCUGGACAGUUCCUGACGGCUGGAGGCACGAAGGCCAGGGGAGCAAAACGGG